AGGUCUUUACUGCUCAAAGCAGAUCACUCUUUUUUUUCUGGAUUAAGUUAGGGUAUUUUUUUGAAUCUUUUUGAAAUGGUGCUUAAACUUACAUAAAGUGAACAUCUUUGAACUGUGAGAAGGCAAAAUGAGAAACCAGAAUAUUUAAUAACUUUAUAUGACUUUAGAAGUACUGAUGUCUUGUAGCAUCUGGAUCCAGGCAUCCUUGGAUGUCUGGAUGUGUCUGUGGUUAACUGCACACUCUGGUCAGAGUGGUUCAAAUUUAGACAAGAAAAUCUCAUACAGUUAAACUGAGUUGAUGGUUCUUUGAUAUGAGAAUAUAGACUAAACAUGUAUCUGAUUCUAGAAGCAUAGUAUAAAUAUAAUAACAAAGAAAAAUGAAGACUUUGUGUCUAAAGCAUAACUUGUUGGUAAACAAUGAGAUUAGAAAAAUAUAAAGGAAAAAACCUUUUUUUUUUUCUAGAGACUGACCAUGACUAUGACUUAGAGUUCAAAGUUUCAAAUCAAUAUUAAUUACAUUUUAUGAAAUUUCCAAUUAAGCGGUUAAGUAGAAAUUGGGCUCAUUAGCUGAAACAAGUUUACAAAGGGCAAUAUUACUCUGGUGGGACUGUUAAACUCUGAGGAUGGUGUUUUAUUUAAUAGACAGCAUGGACUUCAUACAUAUCCAUUAUCAGUGCCUUGAAAACCAAACAACUUUAAAAGUUAGCAGCAGUUUCUGCAAGUACAAAAAUACACAUCUAUUACAUAACAUAUGCUAGUAAAAUUUGUCAAGAUAUAUUAUUAUACAAACUCAAAGCAUUUUAGAUAGAGCAUCAGUCUAAUAUAUUAUAGAUUGACAGAGUAUAAUAAAAUGACACGUAGUCUGUCUUCAAAUCAUACAAUAUUAAUACUUUACAGCAAUAUUAGCUAUUCACAUUAAAUGGUACAGGAGUAUCUAAGGGAACACAGAGACUAGGAGUGGUUACUGAAGAACUUCAGCAUCUAUUUUUCUUCUAUACUUCAAACUGGGUGGACAAUUUUCUACUUGCCAAUAUGAAAGAAAAAAGGCUAGAAAUGUUAUUUUGUUAAGUAGAGAAGCAACUUCUUCUAUAAAGACACUCCAAGCCAUGAGGGCUUCAUUCACAUCUUGUAGUUCUGACAGUAGUAUGCCCUAAGGGUGAGGGGAAUCCCUGCUGCCUUUAUAUAUUACACCACAGAAGGCAAGAGGAGAAAUGUCCACAGACAUGAAGGAAAGCAAUGGGGUCUAGAUCAUGAAUCGUUUAGGGCAGAGCUAUGCAAAACCUUAUGCAAGAAAAGAAAUCCAAAGCCAAAGACUAUUUGAAAAAAGGCCUGUCAGCCACUCUGGUGGCUCUUCUGUGACUCUACAACCUGCCAGCCUCAAAACUGCUCUCUCAAGUGCCAAAUGACAAUUAGAAAAGGAAUGGUUUACCAUUCGUUUUUUCUGGCUAAGAGGCAAAGGGUGGAAGAACAUUUCAGCAAAGAGGAGCCACCCUUUGGC
rnacentral:lncRNA from 1 species